rnacentral:rRNA from 1 species
UACGUAGGCAGCGAGCGUUGUUCGGAAUUACUGGGCGUAAAGAGUGUGUAGGCGGUGCUCUAAGUUCGGUGUGAAAUCUCCCGGCUUAACUGGGAGGGUGCGCCGGAAACUGGAGUGCUCGAGCGUGGGAGAGGAAAGCGGAAUUCCUGGUGUAGCGGUGAAAUGCGUAGAUAUCUGGAAGAACACCAAAGGCGAAGGCAGUGUCCUGGGUGGUCGCUGACGCUGAGAGGCGAAAGCCAGGGGAGCGAACGGG